UACGAAGGGGGCUAGCGUUGCUCGGAAUCACUGGGCGUAAAGGGUGCGUAGGCGGAUCGUUAAGUCGGGGGUGAAAUCCUGGAGCUCAACUCCAGAACUGCCUUCGAUACUGGCGAUCUUGAGUCCGGAAGAGGUGAGUGGAACUCCUAGUGUAGAGGUGGAAUUCGUAGAUAUUAGGAAGAACACCAGUGGCGAAGGCGGCUCACCGGUCCGGUACUUACGCUGAGGUGCGAAAGCGUGGGGAGCAAACAGG
rnacentral:rRNA from 1 species